AGACAUUGUGUAACUAUGCGUCCGUGACCGUUGCCACGCACGCUUUCUUCUGGAACAUUCGGCUGAAGGACCGUUGGGAUAUCGAUGGCUCAUUAGGCACUUCGGCCAUAUACGUUUUCGCCGAGUGUCGCCACGUCUUUAUUUCCAUCGUCAGUCCAUCGGGUUUGACGUGUGCCGGUCGUGACACGU